rnacentral:rRNA from 1 species
UAUUGCGCAAUGGAGGAAACUCUGACGCAGUGACGCCGCGUAUAGGAAGAAGGUUUUCGGAUUGUAAACUAUUGUCGUUAGGGAAGAANAAAGACAGUACCUAAGGAGGAAGCCCCGGCUAACUACGUGCCAGCAGCCGCGGUAAUACGUAGGGGGCAAGCGUUAUCCGGAAUUACUGGGUGUAAAGGGAGCGUAGACGGUGAUGUAAGUCUGGAGUGAAAGGCGGGGGCCCAACCCCCGGACUGCUCUGGAAACUAUGUGACUGGAGUGCAGGAGAGGUGAGCGGAAUUCCUAGUGUAGCGGUGAAAUGCGUAGAUAUUAGGAGGAACACCAGUGGCGAAGGCGGCUCACUGGACUGUAACUGACGUUGAGGCUCGAAAGCGUGGGGAGCAAACAGG